rnacentral:lncRNA from 1 species
CUUUCAGAAGUGACUCUCCAGGGGAGCUAAAAUCCAUGUAUUUGGGCACACACUUGAACAAUAUUGCUAGAGAAAUUUAAGCAAGAGCACAAAGGCACUACGUUGUCUGGGAUGAUGGAAGGAGCUAAAGUCUUCAGUGAAUGAAGGAGCAGGACCAGGAGCUCAAAAUACUUCUUUGAAGACAAAGAAGAAAUGAUAUUACCAAAUGGUUGGCUCAAAAGAACAGGGAUUUUGCAACAGAGAGAGUAUGUCAUGGUCUUGAACAAGCAAUGAAAGAAUCAUCUGAAAGGAAUGUGGAGAUCAGAGAAAAAUGAUGGGAAAGUUACCACAGCCUGCAAAUGAGAAAUGAUGAGAGCCUGCCUGGGACAAAGAAUCUACAAUAGAUCUUCUCCAGCAGCUCUGGAGGUCAGACCCAGCUGUGGAGAGAAUCAUUUCUAAAAAACUAGAAGGCACGUUGGGAGACUACUACUUUCUGUGGAUGAAUGGGAAAUUCAAGACAGAAAAUGGAUGGGCGAUAUGGAAAUACAACUGGUAAGAUGUGGAAAAUCUGGGUUCUCUUUCUGGCUCUGCAGUAUGUUAAUGAUGUGAUCUUGAAUAAAU